rnacentral:rRNA from 1 species
AACGCGAAGAACCUUACCUGGGCUCGAAAUGCUAUGGACCGGGGUAGAAAUAUCCCUUCCCCGCAAGGGGCCGUAGUAUAGGUGCUGCAUGGCUGUCGUCAGCUCGUGUCGUGAGAUGUUGGGUUAAGUCCCGCAACGAGCGCAACCCUUACCCCCAGUUGCCAUCAUUUAGUUGGGCACUCUGGUGGAACCGCCUCGGAUAACGGGGAGGAAGGUGGGGAUGACGUCAAGUCCUCAUGGCCUUUAUGUCCAGGGCUACACACGUGCUACAAUGGCCGGUACAAACCGUCGCAAACCCGCGAGGGGGAGCUAAUCGGAAAAAGCCGGCCUCAGUUCGGAUUGGAGUCUGCAACUCGACUCCAUGAAGCUGGAAUCGCUAGUAAUCGCGGAUCAGAACGCCGCGGUGAAUACGUUCCCGGGCCUUGUA